AAUCAUUAGCCUCUUAAUUAGAGGCUGGAAUGAAUGGUUUAACAUUUCCUUAACUUUUUUAAAAAUUUUAAACAAAUUUAUAUUAAAUAUAAAAAUAUAUUUAUAUAUUAACUAGACGACAAGACCCUUUCAAACUUUACUGAAGUUAAGCUGGGGUAGCUUAAUAAUUAAUAUCUUAUUAUUUUUUUUAAAAAAAGACCCAAUUCAAAUUGAUUAGAUGAACAAGUUACUGAAGGGAUAACAGCAUAAUAAAUUUAUAUAGCUCUUAUUAAAAAAUUAGUUUAUGACCUCGAUGUUGAAUUAUAUAACUUCUACGCGCAAGAGUGUAGAAAGUAGGUCUGUUCGACCUUUAAAUUUU
rnacentral:rRNA from 1 species